rnacentral:rRNA from 1 species
UACGUAGGGUGCAAGCGUUGUCCGGAAUUAUUGGGCGUAAAGAGCUUGUAGGCGGUUUGUCGCGUCUGCUGUGAAAUUUCGGGGCUCAACCCCGAACUUGCAGUGGGUACGGGCAGACUAGAGUGUGGUAGGGGAGACUGGAAUUCCUGGUGUAGCGGUGAAAUGCGCAGAUAUCAGGAGGAACACCGAUGGCGAAGGCAGGUCUCUGGGCAUUAACUGACGCUGAGGAGCGGAAGCAUGGGGAGCGAUCCGG